GCUUGGUGGAUCAGUGGCGAACGGGUGAGAAACACGUGAGCAACCUGCCCUGGACUCUGGGAUAAGCGCUGGAAACGGCGUCUAAUACUGGAUAUGAGACGUGAUCGCAUGGUCGUGUUUGGAAAGAUUUUUCGGUCUGGGAUGGGCUCGCGGCCUAUCAGCUUGUUGGUGAGGUAAUGGCUCACCAAGGCGUCGACGGGUAGCCGGCCUGAGAGGGUGACCGGCCACACUGGGACUGAGACACGGCCCAAACUCCUACGGGAGGCAGCAGUGGGGAAUAUUGCACAAUGGGCGGAAGCCUGAUGCAGCAACGCCGCGUGAGGGAUGACGGCCUUCGGGUUGUAAACCUCUUUUAGCAGGGAAGAAGCGAAAGUGACGGUACCUGCAGAAAAAGCGCCGGCUAACUACGUGCCAGCAGCCGCGGUAAUACGUAGGGCGCAAGCGUUAUCCGGAAUUAUUGGGCGUAAAGAGCUCGUAGGCGGUUUGUCGCGUCUGCUGUGAAAUCCCGAGGCUCAACCUCGGGCCUGCAGUGGGUACGGGCAGACUAGAGUGCGGUAGGGGAGAUUGGAAUUCCUGGUGUAGCGGUGGAAUGCGCAGAUAUCAGGAGGAACACCGAUGGCGAAGGCAGAUCUCUGGGCCGUAACUGACGCUGAGGAGCGAAAGGGUGGGGAGCAAACAGGCUUAGAUACCCUGGUAGUCCACCCCGUAAACGUUGGGAACUAGUUGUGGGGACCAUUCCACGGUUUCCGUGACGCAGCUA
rnacentral:rRNA from 1 species